GGACAAGCAGACUGGCAGUGUCCACAACGGUGUUACGAUGACAAAGACCAGAUCCUCGGAAGACUUGACAACGAAUGAGCUGGGACAAAGCACCAUUUCGAGGAGAUCAAGCGAUCCGAACCUCACAGUUGAAUCCAUUGUCACAGAUUG